rnacentral:lncRNA from 1 species
GAGGCAGGAGAAUGGCGUGAACCUGGGAGGCGGAGCUUGCAGUGAGCCGAGAUCACACCAGUGCACUCCAGCCUGGGCGACAGAGCAAGAACCUGUCUCUAAAAAAAAAUUUUUUUAAUUAAUUUCACCGUUACAGUUUGCAUUUCUUUUCUUUUCUUUUUUUUUUUUUUUUUUGAGAUGGAGUCUCGCUGUGUCACCAAGGCUGGAGUGCAGUGGCGCAAUCUUCCCAGAACACCCUCUCAGGCUCCCCACUAAAGCUCCUGCUUCCAGCUCAAGAACAGGGCAGGCUCGCUGACACAGCCAAGACAAGCACAUCACGAGCGGCUCUGGAGCUAAGGAAGGAGCCCAGCCUCCUGCUCAGGUCAACAGCCCCCCGCCCACCUCCCUGCCCCUCUGUGAUGGCUCAUUAUUCCGGUAUUCCCAGGAGACAGAUGGAAUUUUCCCCACCAGCGCCUAAUUACAUUCCAACUCGACGUGGUACAGUGACAUGUGUCCAAGCCGCGUACGAUUCCCAGUGUGACUGAGAGCUGAACACUCUGCAAAAGGGUCCAAAUGGGGAUGUUUCAGUCUUGAGGUGUGUGUUGAGCUGUUACCUGGGGAGGCCCUGGGGCGAGGCCCCCUCUCCUGUCAGGAGCAAGCCCCAUCUGGAACUAAUAGAACUCAGCCUAAGGCUACAGCUGGGCAGGCAGAAGAUGCUUCAGAUGGAAACCGAUGGAGGGAGGGGGUGUAGGAAAAGCAUUCCCUGAGGGCCUGUCCCAAGGGAGGGAGAGGAUUCUGACCCGGAAUCCAAGGAGCAGCCUAACUUCCCUGGACAGGAGUGCUUCCCAGCGCUCAGUGGAGCGAUCUCAGCGUGCUCCUAGCCUAGGAGAGUCCCUGGGCUGGGGAAGGGCAGUCUCUGUCUUGGGGUUCCCUGUCUGUGUGGCCCGAAGUUCCAGGGACUGCCCCCACCCACUAACAUAGCCAAGGGUCUGAUGUUGGGUGUGGAGGCUCCUAGAGGACACAGAGAUCCUCUGCCCUCUGCUUCUCUCCAGAACCGGUUCUGUCAUCCUGUGAUGGGAAUGGAGCCACUACUGGUUCCUGGUUUAACAUUUUACCUAGUUCCGGCAUUGCCACCACCAAAGCUCUUCUCCACUGAGGGCUUCCCAGCUUCACCCCCUCCCUCACUGCCUUCAGGGGCCCUUCCAAACCUCGCCCAGUCUCUCCCUACCUCACCUCCAGGCCUGGCCCCUGGCCUUCCCAGCAUCCUCACACAUCCCUCCCAGAAUUAUGGGCCCUCUGCCUCUGGUCCCAUUCUCUCACUGCUCCUGACCCCGAGGUCUCAAUUCAAAUGAUUUCAGAGGCCACGCAGGAAACAGAAGAGGCUAAAGUGGGCAGGGAGGUGGUACAGGUGGCAACCCAGGAGCCAGGCCCCUCUGCAGGCCCCAGGCUCCCGCCGCUCCUCCCCAGAAGGAAGAGGGGGCCCUGGGUUAUCAAUUCUUUGGAUUUUGCCAGAGGCUGGGAAUCAGGAUUUUUGCAUGCAAUUGGUUGGCAGCAAAUUCGACAAAACAAACAAAACAAACAAAACACUGUGUGGGCCAACACAGCUCCACCUGCAGCAUGGAUUCCGCCGGAGGCCAAGGCUUCUGACAGCUGCCUUCCUGGUCUAGAUGGCCCCCUCAGCAUCCUCAGCUCCCCGCCCCCGCUACCCACCACGCCUCGCCGUCUGUCUGUAGACUCAGAUCAAGCCUCUCCCCUUGAACCACAA